UUACUUCUCGAACUGCGUUGUUUAAUCAUUUAUUAUUUUCAUUUGUUUAAAAAAAAAUAUUUUUGAUUAUUAUGAUGGUGCACUUAAGUGGUGAAAUAGUCACAGAUAAUAUGUUGUUAUAGAAAUCGGAAUUAAUAGUAAGUACCGGCAGUUGAGUCCGCGUGUGUCUAUUUACUGGGAAAAAUACUGAUUUUUGGAAUAAUACGGACGUUUUGGGGUGCACCUUUAUUGAAAUAGACCAAGUCCCCCAUACAUAUGCUGUUAUCUUAAGUAAGCCCGUCUGGUGUUGGGGCGCCGAAAUGGGAGCUAAUGAAAGAGGUGUCUGUGUAGGCUGCACCGCCGUCUGGACCAAAUUCUGUCAUCCUGGGGAUCACGAGGAAAAAUUGAUUGGAUGCGACUUUGUACGAAGGCUUUCAUUGCUGUGGAGUGCAUUGAACGACAUCAUGGCCUAGAAGAACCUACCCGGGGAUAAUACCAGCAGCAACAAGUACCACGCAACCGCCAAAAUGCACGCCGCCAUUUUGAAGCACGUCUGAGUGAACCGAUGGUUUCCAUGGAUUCCAUGAAGAUUCAAUUGAUUUGUUGGUUUUUAAUCGUCCAAUUAUUUUUAAAAAUAAACAUUUUGGUGAAUGCUGUUUGUGUUCUUCCAACGGAUCAUCUUCUU